rnacentral:sRNA from 1 species
AGUUCGGGGCUGCGCAGCGGGAAGGCUCGCCUAGUCGGUCCGCAUCCGUGUCGACCACCUGUCUGGACACCACGAAGAUGCCACCUGUUGGGGGCAAAAAGGCCAAGAAGGGCAUCCUAGAACGUUUAAAUGCUGGAGAGAUUGUGAUUGGAGAUGGAGGGUUUGUCUUUGCACUGGAGAAGAGGGGCUACGUAAAGGCAGGACCCUGGACUCCUGAAGCUGCUGUGGAGCACCCAGAAGCAGGUUGGUACAGAGCUCUAUUGUAAGUUCUCAUAAAGGAGCCGGGUGUGGAGGCUCAUGCCUGUAAUCCCAGCAACUCAGGAGGCUGAGGUGGGAAGACCACUUGAGCCCAGGAGUUCAAGACCAGCCUGGACACAUAGGGAGACCUAGUCUCUCAGAAGUUUUUAAAAAAUUAGCUGGACAUGGUGGUGCACGCCUGUAGUCCCAGCUACUUGGGAGGCUGAGGCAGGAGGAUCACUUGAGCUAUUUUAUGCAAAUGAUUUUGUGUAUCUGCAGCGCUUUUGUAAUUUAGACUGAGUGGUAGCUAGAAUUGAUGGAAACCCCUGAAGAGUCUUCCUGCAAGCUGGACUUCACCUGCAACAUUUUUAUAUAUCUCAUGCCUGGGCCUGACUUUUUCAUGUUCUGGGCAAAAAGAAAGGAGUGGUUAUGCUACAGGCCCACAAUCCCCUGUCCAAACCACAUUUUGGGGUCAAACAUAUCUUGGAAUCCAGGAAUCUGGGGAUGUUAG